AGUAACUUAGCGGCGGACGGGUGAGUAACACGUAGGCAACCUGCCCUUCAGACUGGGAUAACUACCGGAAACGGUAGCUAAUACCGGAUAAUUUCUUUUUUCUCCUGAAGAAAGAAUGAAAGACGGAGCAAUCUGUCACUGAGGGAUGGGCCUGCGGCGCAUUAGCUAGUUGGUGGGGUAACGGCCCACCAAGGCGACGAUGCGUAGCCGACCUGAGAGGGUGAACGGCCACACUGGGACUGAGACACGGCCCAGACUCCUACGGGAGGCAGCAGUAGGGAAUCUUCCGCAAUGGGCGAAAGCCUGACGGAGCAACGCCGCGUGAGUGAUGAAGGUUUUCGGAUCGUAAAGCUCUGUUGCCAGGGAAGAACGUCCGGUAGAGUAACUGCUAUCGGAGUGACGGUACCUGAGAAGAAAGCCCCGGCUAACUACGUGCCAGCAGCCGCGGUAAUACGUAGGGGGCAAGCGUUGUCCGGAAUUAUUGGGCGUAAAGCGCGCGCAGGCGGUCAUUUAAGUCUGGUGUUUAAACCUUGGGCUCAACCUAAGGUCGCACUGGAAACUGGGUGACUUGAGUACAGAAGAGGAAAGUGGAAUUCCACGUGUAGCGGUGAAAUGCGUAGAUAUGUGGAGGA
rnacentral:rRNA from 1 species